rnacentral:rRNA from 1 species
CUUUGGUGGCGACCGGCGCACGGGUGCGUAACGCGUAUGCAACCUACCUUUAACAGGGGCAUAACACUGAGAAAUUGGUACUAAUUCCCCAUAACAUUCGAGAAGGCAUCUUCUUGGGUUAAAGACUCCGGUGGUUAAAGAUGGGCAUGCGUUGUAUUAGCUAGUUGGUGGGGUAACGGCUCACCAAGGCGACGAUACAUAGGGGGACUGAGAGGUUAACCCCCCACACUGGUACUGAGACACGGACCAG